rnacentral:rRNA from 1 species
AAACGACUCUCGGCAACGGAUAUCUCGGCUCUCGCAUCGAUGAAGAACGUAGCGAAAUGCGAUACUUGGUGUGAAUUGCAGAAUCCCGUGAACCAUCGAGUCUUUGAAAGGGCACUUCUGCCUGGGUGUCACGC